UACCUUACUACUUGGAUAACCGUGGUAAUUCUAGAGCUAAUACAUGCUGAAAAGCCCGACUUCGGAAGGGUUGUAUUUAUUAGAUAAAAAACCAAUGCCCUUCGGGGCUCUUUGGUGAUUCAUAAUAACUUCUCAGAUCGCACGGCCUUGCGCCGGCGACGGUUCAUUCAAAUUUCUGCCCUAUCAACUUUCGAUGGUACGGUAUUGGCCUACCAUGGUUUCAACGGGUAACAGGGAAUUAGGGUUCGAUUCUGGAGAGCGAGCCUGAGAGACGGCUAGCACAUCCAAGGAAGGCAGCAGGCGCGCAAAUUACUCAAUGCCGACACGGCGAAGUAGUGACAAUAAAUACUGAUACAGGGCUCUUUUGGGUCUUGUAAUUGGAAUGAGUACAAUUUAAACCUCUUAACGAGGAACAAUUGGAGGGCAAGUCUGGUGCCAGCAGCCGCGGUAAUUCCAGCUCCAAUAGCGUAUAUUAAAGUUGUUGCAGUUAAAAAGCUCGUAGUUGAACCUUUGGCCUGGCUGGCAGGUCCGCCUCACCGCGUGCACUUGACCGGCCGGGCCUUCUUCUCUGGAGAACCGCAUGCCCUUCACUGUGGUGUGCUGGGGACCAGGACUUUUACUUUGAAAAAAUUAGAGUGUUCAAAGCAGGCCUUUGCUCGAAUACGUUAGCAUGGAAUAAUAAAAUAGGACGGCAGUUCUAUUUUGUUGGUUUCUAGGACCGCCGUAAUGAUUAAUAGGGACAGUCGGGGGCGUCAGUAUUCAAUUGUCAGAGGUGAAAUUCUUGGAUCAAUUGAAGACUAACUACUGCGAAAGCAUUCGCCAAGGAUGUUUUCAUUAAUCAGUGAACGAAAGUUAGGGGAUCGAAGACGAUCAGAUACCGUCGUAGUCUUAACCAUAAACUAUGCCGACUAGGGAUC
rnacentral:rRNA from 1 species